UGGGGAAUAUUGGACAAUGGGCGAAAGCCUGAUCCAGCCAUGCCGCGUGUGUGAAGAAGGCCUUUUGGUUGUAAAGCACUUUAAGCGAGGAGGAGGCUACUUGGAUUAAUACUCUAGGAUAGUGGACGUUACUCGCAGAAUAAGCACCGGCUAACUCUGUGCCAGCAGCCGCGGUAAUACAGAGGGUGCGAGCGUUAAUCGGAUUUACUGGGCGUAAAGCGUGCGUAGGCGGCUUUUUAAGUCGGAUGUGAAAUCCCUGAGCUUAACUUAGGAAUUGCAUUCGAUACUGGGAAGCUAGAGUAUGGGAGAGGAUGGUAGAAUUCCAGGUGUAGCGGUGAAAUGCGUAGAGAUCUGGCGGAAUACCGAUGGCGAAGGCAGCCAUCUGGCCUAAUACUGACGCUGAGGUACGAAAGCAUGGGGAGCAAACAGG
rnacentral:rRNA from 1 species